rnacentral:rRNA from 1 species
UACGGGGGGGGCAAGCGUUGUUCGGAAUUACUGGGCGUAAAGGGCUCGUAGGUGGCCAACUAAGUCAUACGUGAAAUCCCUCGGCUUAACCGGGGAACUGCGUCUGAUACUGGAUGGCUUGAGUUUGGGAGAGGGACGCGGAAUUCCAGGUGUAGCGGUGAAAUGCGUAGAUAUCUGGAGGAACACCGGUGGCGAAGGCGGCGUCCUGGACCAACACUGACACUGAGGAGCGAAAGGCCAGGGGAGCAAACGGG